AUGGUCACGCUUGAAGAUAAGCUACAUAUAAAAGCAGACCGAGACCGGCUGGCAAGUUGGGCGGAUCGGAACCUGGUGAAAUUCAACAUCAAGAAAUUCAACGCCCUCCUCAUGCUUGGAGCCAGUAUAAGUGCUCCACGGCACUUGGUCCAGACUGGUGAUCAGUGCAGGCCAGGCACACGUACCAAGAUGGCAUCACUGCCUCCCCUGCUCUGCCUCGUGGUGCUCUGGGUCCAGGGUUCCUCGGGGCAGAUUGUGCUGACUCAGACCCCAGAGUGCCUGGCGGUGUCUCCAGGAGAUCGAGUGACCAUCAAGUGCAAAGCCAGCUCCAGCCUUACUCAUAUUAGAUCUGAAAUUAGCUAUCAGGAAUUAGCCUGGUACCAGCAGAAACCUGGGCAAGCUCCAAAGCUCCUCAUCUACCUUGGUUCCACCCGGCAGUCGGGAGUCCCAGCCCGGUUCAGUGGCAGUGGCUCUGGCACUGAUUUCACCCUCACCAUCAGCAGUGUUGAAGCUGAAGAUGCUGGAGAUUAUUAUUGUCAGCAGACCUACAGCUUAUAUCACACAAUGAUACAAACCCAUACAAAAACCUGCCAGGCUGCACAGCCCAGCACCACAGCUGCUUCCUGA